rnacentral:rRNA from 1 species
AACGAACGCUGGCGGCAUGCCUAACACAUGCAAGUCGAACGAGACCUUCGGGUCUAGUGGCGCACGGGUGCGUAACACGUGGGAAUCUGCCCUUUGCUUCGGAAUAACAGUUAGAAAUGACUGCUAAUACCGGAUGAUGUCGAAAGACCAAAGAUUUAUCGGCAAAGGAUGAGCCCGCGUAGGAUUAGGUAGUUGGUGGGGUAAAGGCCUACCAAGCCGACGAUCCUUAGCUGGUCUGAGAGGAUGAUCAGCCACACUGGGACUGAGACACGGCCCAGACUCCUACGGGAGGCAGCAGUGGGGAAUAUUGGACAAUGGGCGAAAGCCUGAUCCAGCAAUGCCGCGUGAGUGAUGAAGGCCUUAGGGUUGUAAAGCUCUUUUACCAGGGAUGAUAAUGACAGUGCCUGGAGAAUAAGCUCCGGCUAACUCCGUG